rnacentral:rRNA from 1 species
GACGAACGCUGGCGGCGUACUUAACACAUGCAAGUCGAACGCUGAAGCUCAGCUUUUGUUGGGUGGAUGAGUGGCGAACGGGUGAGUAACGCGUGAGUAACCUGCCCCCUUCUUUGGGAUAACGCCCGGAAACGGGUGCUAAUACUGGAUAUUCACUGGUCUUCGCAUGGGGGUUGGUGGAAAGGGUUUUUCUGGUGGGGGAUGGGCUCGCGGCCUAUCAGCUUGUUGGUGGGGUGAUGGCCUACCAAGGCUUUGACGGGUAGCCGGCCUGAGAGGGUGACCGGUCACAUUGGGACUGAGAUACGGCCCAGACUCCUACGGGAGGCAGCAGUGGGGAAUAUUGCACAAUGGGCGCAAGCCUGAUGCAGCGACGCCGCGUGAGGGAUGGAGGCCUUCGGGUUGUGAACCUCUUUCGCUCAUGGUCAAGCCGCAACAAUGGUUGUGGUGAGGGUAGUGGGUAAAGAAGCGCCGGCUAACUACGUG